AUUGAACGCUGGCGGCAUGCCUAACACAUGCAAGUCGAGCGAGUGGCGGACGGGUGAGUAAUGUAUGGGGAUCUGCCCGAUCGAGGGGGAUAACUACUGGCAACCGUGGCCAAUUACGCAUUCUAUCGUAUUAACCCAUAUGGGAUUCGCUAGUGGGUGGGGUAAAGGCUCACCUAGGCGUAGAUCCCUAGCUGGUCUGGGAGGCUGACCGGCCAAACGGGACAUGGGAAACGGCCCAGACUCCUACGGGAGGAAGCAGUGGGAAAUAUUGCAAAAUGGGCGCAAGCCGGAUGAAGCCAUGCCGCGUGUAUGAAGAAGGCUUUAGGGUGGUAAAGUACUUUCAGCGGGGAGGCGUUACCCGCAGAAGAAGCACCGGCUAACUCCGUGCCAGCAGCCGCGGUAAUAC
rnacentral:rRNA from 1 species